UACGUAGGGUCCGAGCGUUGUCCGGAAUUACUGGGCGUAAAGAGCUCGUAGGUGGUUUGUCGCGUUGUUCGUGAAAACUCACAGCUCAACUGUGGGCGUGCGGGCGAUACGGGCAGACUUGAGUACUGCAGGGGAGACUGGAAUUCCUGGUGUAGCGGUGGAAUGCGCAGAUAUCAGGAGGAACACCGGUGGCGAAGGCGGGUCUCUGGGCAGUAACUGACGCUGAGGCACGAAAGCGUGGGGAUCAAACAGG
rnacentral:rRNA from 1 species